GUGUGCUUUGUUAGGGUUGGAAUAACACCCUACAGGUCUGUAGAUCUCUAGAAAGAUGGGUGGUUAUCUCUGCUCUAUUUCCUCUGUGCCUUCAGUCAAAAUUUGACUUAAACUUUGCGUUGCAGCCUGUCUUGAAAAACUGGGCGUCGAUACCCAAGUUCCCUCAGCAUGUAAACAACAGAGGAGUGUGAUGCUCUUGCGCAUUCCCGAUUUUCUCCAGCUGUCCUCCACCCAGAUACCCCGACAGCAAGGAACUCUGGGACUCAUUUGCUCCGACUCCGUAUCGAAGUGAGACCGGAUCUUCCCGGUCAGAUCCGGCCUGGAGUCGCUUGCUAACUGGUUAAACAGUGGGGCUUGGGCCACGCACCGAAGGAAGUCUGCAAGAGUGACGGUCCAGGAUGCAGUCUUGUCUUUGACCCAGUGUCUGCAAGAUUCAGAUCCAAACUCUGGGGUCCAGCUCCCAAAAUGAGGGUCUAGGACCCCUGCAGUGCGUUGAAUAGAACUGAAAGGGCACCCAUGACUUGCCGUAGUCCAUCGACUUGUAGAUGGCCAUGGAUUCCGGUCGCGGCGAGCAGAACUGAAGGCUCACGACUCUCACUAUCUGUAUUGACGAGCCAGCGGAGCCUCGACGGUGCCUGAGGUCACCUAGCGGGGUAACGUUCAGCGCGCGAAAGGAGCGAACAGCGACACCCACUGGUAGGUAACCAAUGUGCAAGAUGGGAGCGCGAAGCUGACGUGAGAUUCCGCAAGGGACAGCGGAUCUGUAAUGGAC